AUUGAACGCUGGCGGCAGGCCUAACACAUGCAAGUCGAGCGGAUGAAGGGAGCUUGCUCCUGGAUUCAGCGGCGGACGGGUGAGUAAUGCCUAGGAAUCUGCCUGGUAGUGGGGGAUAACGUCCGGAAACGGGCGCUAAUACCGCAUACGUCCUGAGGGAGAAAGUGGGGGAUCUUCGGACCUCACGCUAUCAGAUGGGCCUAGGUCGGAUUAGCUAGUUGGUGGGGUAAAGGCCUACCAAGGCGACGAUCCGUAACUGGUCUGAGAGGAUGAUCAGUCACACUGGAACUGAGACACGGUCCAGACUCCUACGGGAGGCAGCAGUGGGGAAUAUUGGACAAUGGGCGAAAGCCUGAUCCAGCCAUGCCGCGUGUGUGAAGAAGGUCCUCGGAUUGUAAAGCACUUUAAGUUGGGAGGAAGGGCAGUAAGUUAAUACCUUGCUGUUUUGACGUUACCAACAGAAUAAGCACCGGCUAACUUCGUG
rnacentral:rRNA from 1 species